UCUUAUGGAAGAACAAAGGAAAUGGUUUCUUGAGAUGGAAACUGCUCUUGGUUACAAUGCUGUUAA